GAGUAUAAGUAGCUAUUUAUAUGUCUAUACAAAAGAGCGAGAAUACCUAUCAGCCCGUUCUGGGUGCCCUUGAUGUAACUUAAAAUACAAGUGUCAAGACUCACUCCACUCCACCAUAACCAAACCAGAGCAAUUCCAUCCCAGGUGAAGAACAUUUUUCUGGGAAGCCAUGGGCCAAACUGAGAACUGUAAAAGAACUACUGAUUGCACCACUCUAACAGACAGGGAUCAGAUGCCAUGCGACGUAGAUGACAAACCACACAACACAGAUAACAGUGACAGGCAAUAGACUGUGAACAACGCAAAGUACUUGUCCGAACUUCAGAAAAAACUCAUGAACAGCAAAUCUACUAGAAGAAAACUGGGAGAAUUUGUGAACAACGAAAGGAACUACAUCUGUAAUGACUAACUUGACCAGCUCUAUUUAUAAAUGUUUAAGGGUCAGAUGCUGAAGUAAUAUGCAAGAUGGUUUAACUUUGACAAAACUAGGCCCCUCUAAAACUCCUAGACCUAGGUACACCCGUCCUGAAGCAGCAGGGAGUCUGACAUUAGUGUAAUUUAUAUGGAGCAGCAAGAAAAGCUGUAAGUUAAAGAGGUUUCUAUCCUGCUUAAUUUCCAGUUUCUUCUGGCUGUUCAGCAUGUAAUUUCAUCAGUAUUGUGGGUUUAAGUAGGCGUAAGGAAUCUUAAUAUAGGGGAGUCUAAGUCAGUGUAAGAAAAACUAAGUUAUACUAUCUUGCAUAUUCCCUCUGAAUUUGUCUUACACAUGUUUCAUAUCACAAGUUCUAGCCACUUUUGGGGGGAGUGGUAGGGGUGGAAA